AACUUUGCCGAAGCCUAACGCAGCGACUUUGUAAAUAAUUGUGGAAUCCUCUCUAGGGGACAAUACCGCCGAAAUGCUGGGAUUAGAUGGCUUGAUUGCUUCUGACCAGCAGCCAUACUGCAAUGGCUCACAGAUCAGCGAGCGGUGGUCCCUUAACGGGGACUAUGAUAUGACCGGUCUCGGCUUUUAUAGUCGAGAGAACACGUUCCGUAGGUGAACCUGCGGAAGGAUCAUUA
rnacentral:rRNA from 1 species